rnacentral:rRNA from 1 species
UACGGAGGGUGCAAGCGUUAUCCGGAUUCACUGGUUAAGGUGCGUAGGCGGGCAGGUAAGUCCGUGGUGAAAUCUCUGAGCUUAACUCAGAACUGCCAUGGAUACUAUUGUCUUGAAUGUUGUGGAGGUAAGCGGAAUAUGGUCAUGUAGCGGUGAAAUGCUUAGAUAUGACAUAGAACACCAAUUGCGAAGGCAGCUUACUACACAAAUAUUGACGCUGAGGCACGAAAGCGUGGGGGGGAUCAAACAGG